rnacentral:siRNA from 1 species
CCACUAGAGGUGUUAUGCCGAUC